GUGAACGCAGAAGGGCUGGAAGAUGAAGCAGACUGCAGUUGGUUCUCGCUGACACGCUCCACCAAGGAGGACCCGUGUGAGGAGAAAAUGCACCUGCUGCUGCUGUUCUAUCUCCUCUGCCGGCUCGCAGGCUCAUCUGCCAUCACUGGCCCAGAAGCAGUGAGCGGCCCAGAGGGAGACUCGUUGACUGUGAAGUGUCAAUACAGCCCUGGGUGGGAGACGUAUGCGAAGUGGUGGUGCCGAGGAGCUGCUUGGAGCAGCUGCAAGUUCGUCGUUAAAACCACUGAACCAGAGAAGGAGGUGAAGAAGGGCCGCGUGUCCAUCAGGGACAAUAGGAAAAGCCGCACCAUCGCCGUGACCAUGGAGAAGCUCAGGCUAAACGAUGCAGACUCUUACUGGUGUGGGAUUGAGAAAUUUGGAAUUGACCUUGGGGUCCGAGUUAAAGUGACCAUUAACCCAGCACCCAGAGCAGUGCCGGCCACCACUCCUGCCACCUCUGCUAUCAACGUGUUCACAGUGUCGGUCAACCUGGAAGAGACCAGUGACUCCCUGGCUGUGACCAGCCCCGACUCCAACAGCGGCAGUGUGUUCCUGAAGGCCAACAUCCUCCUUCCCUUCAUCUUUGCUGUGCUGCUUCUUCUCUUGAUGGUGACCUCACUUGUGGUUUGGAGAAUGUUGAAACAACAGAAGAAAGCUGCUGAGAUAUCCCCAGAGCAGGCGCUUCAGCCCAAGGAGGGCGACAUCUGCUACGCAAACCUGAGCCUGCAGCAGACUGAAAACUCUGGGUCGUCCCAGAAGAAGGCCUCCACGAGGUCCUCUUCCCCCGCCCAGGCCAACACGGAGGAAGUGGAGUAUGUCACCAUGACUCCCUUUCUCAGGGAGGACAUUGCCCGUGCAGCUCUGUCUUUGGAAACCUCAGAUCAAGAGCCAACCUAUAGCAACAUGGAGCACCUCAUCACCCGCAUUCCCAGCAGGAGCCAUGAGGAACCCACGGAAUACAGCGCCAUCAGGAAGCCUUAGCCUGCGUUCCAGGGGCCCCUCUCAGUCCCACUCGAGGCCUCUGAGAGGGAGGCAAGAAGGUCACAGAGGAGAAGACAGUGUGAUGGUGGGAGCAAAGGUCGGAGUGAUGCAGCCAGGGCCCGCAGAACGCCGCAGCCUCCAGGAGCUGAAGAGGCAGGAACGGAUCCUCCCCAGAGCCCCCGGAAGGAGCCAGCCCGGCUGACGUCUUGACUUUAGCCCAGUGAAACUGAUUUCAUACUUCUGGUCUCCAGAAUUGAAGAAUGUGCUGCUUGCCUAAGGUGGCUCUAAGGGCCCAUCUCGACACUUGGCCUAUUCUCCUUGCCUUCAUGUUAAUUACCAAAGCCAUCAGAUAGCUGGUCUACAUUAUGCAGCGUUCAUCCUAAGUUAACAAAUCUAUGCAACUCUUCCUGUAUUAAUACGACUUUUCUCCCCCGGUAAACCUGCAAGCCAAUUGCUUAA